AAAAAAUUGUUCGAAAUCCCAAAGAUGAGAACUUUUUCUUUCACAUGGGGGGAUUGAGGGUAUUUGAUACUGAUAUGGUAGUGUAUGUCCAGCCGUCGCACGGUAAGAAUGUUUCUCAAGCGAUACUACGUGAGCGCAGCUCACUGCUCUUCAAGUUCGUUUCUCUGCCUUUUCACUCCUUUGUGUUCCUUUAUAGAGGGGUGUUUCAUGUUUGGUUGCUGUUAUUCACUUUUUAUUUGGGGGGUUUGUUUUGCUUUUGGUGGCCGGUGGGGGGUUAAUGUAAGAGAAGUGGGUGUUUUUCUCUCAGACCAGAAGAAGCGGAGCAGAUCAGUGUCGUUAAAAAGAUUAGAAUAGGAUGCAUAAUUUCAUGCCAAUGAAUGGUUUCUUAGAUGUUUGCUUACACAGCAUUGGAGUACUAUAGAAUAUCAAUAACUUUGAUCGGACCUUCUAUUAGAGUUUUAUCAUAUAAUCACUUUUUUGAGAUCAAUUUGUUCUUUAGGUUUUAUAAUAAAUCAAUUCAUGUAAAUGUUGUUUUAUUUUGCUUAUUGUGGAUUUACUUUCAGGUUCAAUGCUUUAGAUAAACAUGCAAGAAUUCUCUCUGGAGUUCACCCAUAUUUUGGUGUGAGAUUAAAAGCAAAUCUGUUACUUUUCUCUCCAAAGCCAAAUAACCUUUUAGGGGCCGGAAAAAAACAAAGAAUCAUAGAUAUAAGAUGGCAUUUCGUUUGGUGUUGCUGCAGAUAUAUGCUGCAUUAUGGCUUCCAUACAUUGUCCCUAACAAUUGUUUCUGUCAUUUCCAGAAGGGAAGGUGGUGAAACUUAUGCAAGAAUGGAUUCAUGUUAUUGUUCUUGGUUUUUCACCUGCUGUUGUAGUAGAUGAAGAUAUUCGUAGUGAAUUUAGAUAUAAAUUUGUAGGCACCUUUAUUUGUUUAUGCUCCAAAGGUCUUUUCUUUUCUUUUUCAGAAUUUGGCUGGAGAGUUGAUAUUUUUGGAUUAUUUCCUGACUUGAUGUGUUCUAUUUGCUAUAGAAGAGUGGUAAGGGUGCAUAUGUUAGCAGAGCUCGCAAGCGACAUGUUAUAAAGGUUGGAACUGUGGUACGCUUUUUAGUCUGGAGGUGACUUGUUAUUGUGUUUCUUAUAACUGUGCACUUACUAUUUACUGGCUUGAUUUCGGUAGAUAAUGUAUCAUUUGCCACUUUUGAAUUGAAUAUAAUAUGCUCUUUCUCUAGACAUGCCAUUCACACACAAACUUAGUAUUGGUCUCAUAAAGGAGUACAAGCAUUGCACUGAAACUAAAUGGCCAUGCUGAGGAAAGAGGAGUCUGAAUUGUUCAGACUUUGAGAUCUCUUGAUGUCAUUAUCCUGUUUAUACCUUAAUAGAAAUGAAGGAAAGCCUGAAUGGUCAACAUAUCAACUUCUGUGACGUUUCAAAGAUGUGCUUAAGGGAUGAGAGUUGGAUCAAUAAAUUUCAAAAAUAAAAGUGAUGGUGGAUAUGCAAAAUGUGUUGGCUUAAGCUCUAUAACUAUUCUGGGGGCUUUGUUUCCAUAGAUUAAGGCAUUCAAGAUUGACAGUAUUUAUGCUACAAUUGUGGGUAUCGUUUACAUUUAGUUUCUGGCUUUUUUUCUUUGCUAGAGGUAACUGAUGGAAUUCAUCAUUGAAUUAAUGUACUGAUUGGCAUACUCACCAUCUAGCUUUUAUGGUAGAUUUUUGAGAGGUUUGUGAUGAAAUAUGUGUAGUUUGGUCGUGCCCUUGGCCUAAUCGAGAAUUGUUAAACAUCUCUUUUUAAACAUGAGUAUAACUCUUGCUUAGAUUUACUUUUAAUUUAUAUGAUCCAUGUGACUUGAUAAAGAUAUUGAAUAUUUGGAUCAUAUUGACAUUUACUAAUUUUCUCAGGUUGGAUGAGGAAAUACUCCGCAUUUCCGAUCCUUGAUUCCAGUUUACACUGGAAGCGUUGGUUGGAUGGAGAUGCCAAAAAUGCAACAACUGAGAGGUACGGUAACUAAAAUUUUUGCUCAGAAACUUGAAGAAAGCUGUUAUAUUUGAAAAUUUAAGAUUGUGAGAUGUUAAAAUUGUUAAUUGGUUUUGUUAUGGUAACAAGAAGAGAACACAGCCUGAUGGAGAAAUUGAAGUGCAAGAGCUUGGUAUUGCAAGCCGGGACACAUAUGCCGUGAACAAUUUCUGUGAGAUUAAGUCUAAGAAACGUAGAAAUGCAGAAGAGCAUUGAAACCUUCUGUGGGUUCCUGAUUCUUUUCUACACUCUUUGUUCCUGUUAAUUUC
rnacentral:misc_RNA from 1 species